AAAUAAAUCCUAACUUAAAGCAAACGUGACCUAAAAAUAAGUCAAUGAGACUAAGGAAAAGUGCUAAACCAAAAACUGAUUUAUUCAAAAUAAAGAAUAAUCACCUUUUUAUGCUCAUACACAUCUUAAUUAGAGUAGAUUUUGUAAAACUCAAAAAACCUACAAACAAACUAGGAAGCCUCCAGAUCACUAUCGGAAGCCGGUGGAGGUUAAUUAUUUUUCCGCUCGCGCCCAAACCCAACCCAACCCAGGUACGAGGCGACCCAGAACCUUCCGUCCAACGCGACACCCCGUUGGAGGUCAGCCCGCGACGUUCUGACUGUAUGUUUUGUUAGUUCUAAUCCAUCUCUUCACAACCGCAAACCCAUCGUCAAAUUAGCCAAAUCAUCAACCUGACAGCUUGAGUGCUGACGGAUGAGUUGGUUGAAAUUGUCUACAAAGUGUAAUAAUUUUUGCGACUCGUUCGUCACACCUCUGCGGUGAUGAGUUUGUCUAUUUGGAAGUGUUUGAACUCCGUCUUAAUGACCCUAGCAAGAUGCUCCCCCCCAUUUGGUGCUUUUGUUGACACAAAGAAAUAGACGUGUGGGCAGGAAGUUUGCCAUUUUCCUGUGCCGAAUGUCACGUAAUAAAGAAAUUAAGGGCCCAAUUUAUCAUUAGGCAAAAUUUGCGGGUUCGUCGCUCUCGCGCGUUGGUGUUCUUUUGUGUGUGUCUUUGAGGAACGAUAGAAAGCAAUUUGGCUUGAACCGACUGCGGUGUAACAACAAUGCAAUGGACUUUCCUCCGCCGUGAAGAUUUCGCAAUCGCCAGCUGAGAGAUGGCCGGCGAUAUGCAACGGAGGUGAUGCGUUUCAGAGUUGAGCCCUUUUUCGCGGGGGUUUCGAGCUGUGGAGACCUAAAGAGGUGGCUGUUAUUUAUGCCUCGGGAGGGGUGAUCAUUUUACAGAGUUACAUUGUGUUUUUGCCUUGCAAACUAGAAAAUAUAGUGUGAUACUUAGGUUGAACUUAAUUGAGUUUCAAUCAAAAUCAACGAGGUUCGUCGUGCGACAAAAAAUCUCGUGCGACAAUUUUUUCUGAAAGACUUCAUUAAACUCAGGCAUAUUUUAUUCAUUGCUCUUCUAUAGCUACAUCCGCACUGGUUGAUGUUUGAUGUUAAAGUGUUGAAGUUAGUGAGAACAUUCAGAAUGAAGCUAUUUUGUAGUUCUGAUCAACAUACACACGCAUAAAUUGCGUGCAUGAGUCAGGGGUGUAGCAUUAAAGCAAUUAAAAUCAGUUUCAAAAACUGUCAACCCAUCAUUUGACAGCUCAAACAUUUGUUUUGAUGCCACACGGAGGAUCGGCAUUACACUUUUUGCAGUUCGAUUUUACACCACCGACUAGUUUCAACCCUCGAACUGAAAAAAGUGUAAAGUGCGAACUGCAAAAAGUGUAAAAGUUACAUCUUUGCCAGUUCAGGGGUCCGAACUGAAAAAGGUGUAACUUUUGGACUUAGAAUAAUUUCGAGAUUUUUGUCCGCUGUCAAAUCGGGACUUAGUGCAAUUUUGGAGUUGGUGGCAAGAGUAGGUGCUGAGUGGUGCCGGCUUGACCGCGGCUUCGUUGCAGAAUCCGAUGUGCCCUACUCCAACGGACAGUGAUAGCGAGCAGGGUUCGUUGGAGGACUUCCUGGAGCAGUGUCUAGCUCCGUGUUGCUGGGAGAUUUGGAAGACGACGAAGACGUGAAGGAUUAGAACGACGACGAUUCCAUCAUGUACCGAGAGGUGUCAGAGAAAAUCUACUCGAGUGGGCCCAGCAGGUCAUAAGGCCGUGCUGGAAGUAGAGUUCCAGGCUGAGGAAGAAACCGGUCUUGAACCAACGUUGGAGUUUCACGCUAUGGUUGCGUCCGAGCUUCAUCGAAGUGACCUGGGAAUGUGGCUGUGUGACGACGAACCGAAGCUGAUCUUGACGUCACAAUCAACAACUUGACGAUCAACUUCUGCCUGCAGGAGAGCAUCGGCAAGCAGCUGGCCGCGUUCCACUGCGGCUUCUGCGAGGUGUUUCCGUUGAGGUGAUCCGGAACAUGCUGUGCGGCGAGCAGAACCCCGAGUGGACUCGGGAGGACAUUAUAACCUACACGAAAUCAUGCAAGUCAUCCAGCAAAAGUCCGUCUACUAACCAAACACUCCUAAGUCCGAGGAACUACACUCAAACCCCGAUGGUUUGACACCAACUGUUGUCAAACGAACGGAGUCACUUUUUAGUUUUAGAUGUGUUAUUUCGUGAUAUAUAUUGUAU
rnacentral:lncRNA from 1 species